GAUCAUGGCUCAGGAUGAACGCUAGCUACAGGCUUAACACAUGCAAGUCGAGGGGCAGCAUCAUCAAAGCUUGCUUUGAUGGAUGGGCGACCGGCGCACGGGUGAGUAACACGUAUCCAACCUGCCGACAACACUGGGAUAGCCUUUCGAAAGAAAGAUUAAUACCGGAUGGUAUAGUUUUCCCGCAUGGGAUGAUUAUUAAAGAAUUUCGGUUGUCGAUGGGGAUGCGUUCCAUUAGGG
rnacentral:rRNA from 1 species